AACAGGAAUGAGGACCUCUGGAAUCAGGCCUCCAAAACCCCCAAGAGGUUAGUCUUAUCCUAAUUACCUUCAUGAAAAGUAAUUGUUCUGAGGCUGGAACAUACAAAAGGAAACACCCAACACAAGCCUCAAGUUGCCUGGGAACAUUAACAGUCUAUUGAGAACAGGAAUGAGGACCUCUGGAAUCAGGCCUCCAAAACCCCCAAGAGGUUAGUCUUAUCCUAAUUACCUUCAUGAAAAGUAAUUGUUCUGAGGCUGGAACAUACAAAAGGAAACACCCAACACAAGCCUCAAGUUGCCUGGGAACAUUAACAGUCUAUUGAGAACAGGAAUGAGGACCUCUGGAAUCAGGCCUCCAAAACCCCCAAGAGGUUAGUCUUAUCCUAAUUACCUUCAUGAAAAGUAAUUGUUCUGAGGCUGGAACAUACAAAAGGAAACACCCAACACAAGCCUCAAGUUGCCUGGGAACAUUAACAGUCUAUUGAGAACAGGAAUGAGGACCUCUGGAAUCAGGCCUCCAAAACCCCCAAGAGGUUAGUCUUAUCCUAAUUACCUUCAUGAAAAGUAAUUGUUCUGAGGCUGGAACAUACAAAAGGAAACACCCAACACAAGCCUCAAGUUGCCUGGGAACAUUAACAGUCUAUUGAGAACAGGAAUGAGGGCCUCUGGAAUCAGGCCUCCAAAACCCCCAAGAGGUUAGUCUUAUCCUAAUUACCUUCAUGAAAAGUAAUUGUUCUGAGGCUGGAACAUACAAAAGGAAACACCCAACACAAGCCUCAAGUUGCCUGGGAACAUUAACAGUCUAUUGAGAACAGGAAUGAGGGCCUCUGGAAUCAGGCCUCCAAAACCCCCAAGAGGUUAGUCUUAUCCUAAUUACCUUCAUGAAAAGUAAUUGUUCUGAGGCUGGAACAUACAAAAGGAAACACCCAACACAAGCCUCAAGUUGCCUGGGAACAUUAACAGUCUAUUGAGAACAGGAAUGAGGGCCUCUGGAAUCAGGCCUCCAAAACCCCCAAGAGGUUAGUCUUAUCCUAAUUACCUUCAUGAAAAGUAAUUGUUCUGAGGCUGGAACAUACAAAAGGAAACACCCAACACAAGCCUCAAGUUGCCUGGGAAC